UCCCGUUGCAGGAGGAACUAUGCUAUUAGGUUCUGAGAAAGUGAAAUCCAUGGAUUAAGGAGGUUGUGUCUUUCCAUAAUCACUAACCUGGUGGCUGGGUUUGAACAUCUCUGAAAAGAAUGGAUUUUGUUGCAGAAGGUCACUUUUGUGCUUAUUUCGUGGCCUAGUUCUUGUGGUUUUGAUUUGACGUUGAACAGGUUGAUCAGAGAAGAUUUGAGAGGAUAACACAUUGUGAGUCCAGAUAGCAACCAAAAUCUUAAAAGGAGAUAAAUAGCAAUGCCCACUCAAAAGGAUAUGAAAGUAUGGAACAAGUACCUGGAAAUCUGCCAGUUUGCAGAAAUGCAGCCCAUGAAGGAUCAAAGUAGGAACAAACUCUCAGAAAUGUCAGUUGCAGUGCUGUGAUGAUGCAUCCAGAAUGCUGUGGAGCUUAAUGGGAGGUUAAGGGGGAUAUCCAAAAGGCAGGAACACCUGGCGAAGGCUGGGACAUGACAUACGAUGAAGGAAAGAGAAAUAAGACCACGAAAUCGAGAAGAUUGGGGAACUCGUGUAAUGUUGCUAUAUUAAUGGUGAAGAAUAAGAAUCAGUUCAGUCAUGUGUGUAAACUAUUUAAUCUGCGAGGCAUGGGCAUCUUACACCCAAAUACUUCGAAGAGGACUAAGUGCUUUUGAAUCAUUAAUUGCUUUGAGUUGUCGUCCUGAGGAGUUGUCGUCAAACCUCAAUGUUAUACCUGCGGUUUAUGACUUAAGGGCAAUGCAAGAAAAUGGCAACGCUUUUGUAGUGAACUUUAUAGAACUGAAGAUUUGUCAUCAUUUGAACUUUCUAGAACUGAAGAUUUGUCAUCAUACCUAAUCAUCGGAGGAGGAUUUCAUUAGCUGCCGAAGUGACGGACAUGGAAUAUAACUUCCCUCUCAUGAAGCACCAAUAGGACUUUUUCCUCUGAAAUAUCUUGGUUGGGAAAGUGGAAUGGAUUUUUCUGUAGAGAAAGGGGCUCCAUGUAAAUUUUACAUAACCGGUCCCCGUUUAUAAAAUUUUUGUU